rnacentral:lncRNA from 1 species
CUUUUCCUAAAUGAAUAUGGAUAAAAAGUAUUCCGUUGAAAAAUGAAGUUAACAUGAUGCAGAAAUGUAUUACAGAGUAAGUAGAAUCUUUGGAUAAAAUGGCAGCUUACAAAAUGUAUGCUAAAAAAGUUAUUUUUUCAUCUCACCUGUUCUUGAUCUAAAUUCUGGAAUUCAUCCAGGUACAAAAUUACCUUACCCUUGUAUGUAUAGGAAGGCCAGCAGAGAAUUGAGUAGACGUAAGUUGACCAGUUGUGUCAGCAGUUUUACCACAGAAAUAAACAAAAUAUAGUGUUUACAGUAGACAUAGUGAUUCUGGGGAGGGACAUAUUUAUAAUGAACUAAGGGUUAAUUUUCAGUGUGGCUGUACAGCUUUAUUGACGGACUAACUAAAGAACUAGCUAACUAAGAGCUGAAAUGAGCUAGCAUUAGUAAGAAGUGAAUGUUGCCAUACAAUAAAACCUUGCAAAUUGUGCCUAGUAGUUAUAAAAUUCCAAAUGUAAAGCUUUACAAAACACAAUUAUACAAGCAUUGUAGGAAUACACUAUUUACUCAUUACAUGUUUUAAUGUAUUAGACUUUUAAAAAAAUAUUUUUUUGUACUAUUCAUAACAAUUAGCAAGGUUACUGCUGAGAAUUUCAUAUUUAAGACAAAAAAACAAACAACUGAAAACAGAUUUGAUUUGAAGAUUUUUUUUUUUUAAUCUGGUCCUAUAGCCUAAAUGUUGAAAUUCACAUUGAAUUCAGUUUGAAUUCCUGGCUAUUCUCACUUUAGGAAAUAACCUUGUUAGUUUAUUACUUCAAACAUCUUUUGACAAGAUCCGUGUAUAAGGUCAAAUUUGUUUAUUGAAUUUUCCAGCAUGAUAUUUUUGGAAGAUAUGUGUUGUGCUUUGAGCAGGCAGAGUAGCCAUAUGCUUGCAUUAUUUAACAAAAACCUGUCUUAACAUAAUAUUGGCAGGCAUGUUUGCAUAGAACUUGUUUCCAAUCUAAUUUGAAAAAGAUACUUUCAUUAAAUUAAACUGAUGUAAUAUAACUGCAGUACAUGUUUAUAUAACAUAUACAUAUACUUAAAACUGUGUUUUUUGCCUUUUUUUGGAUCAAUAGCAAAAUCAGGAAGACGGCUGAACUUGAAGAAUUCAUGUCUCUUUUCAGCCUAUGUAAGUAUGAAACUAUGUAAAAAUUGCUGCAUUUUACUGAUUUAAUCCCGGAAAAAUCACAGUCUGAAGACCCCAUGCUAUGUAGCAUUUCCUACUUAUUUUGCAUUUGCAGCCUAGUGUUUGUUAAUAGUGAGAUAUUCACUUUUUAUAUCUAAUUUUAAUGGCUGGAUUGUUACAAUAUAAUUACUCCAUAAUUGGUUCUUUAGGUGCUUAAAGGAUUCUGGCAUAUCAAUGAAUCCACUUGUAAAUCAAACACAUCAAUUUCCGAGCAGCCUUCUUUAUGGGUUUUGUGUUUUUUAUAUAGUACAUUUUACAUAGUACAAUACAUUUUUUGUGUCCUCUUGUAAAGUGGUAAUACUAUGUAAACCUGCAAUAUGCAUAUUCAGUAAAAACCUGCAUUGUUCUGUAAUGUUCAGACACCAAACCCCCCGAGCUAUGCAUUGGUCAAAAAAGGAUGGAAUGUAAUAUAGAAAAUUAGCUAAAAUAAAUAUUUGUAGUAGGAAGUGAAAGAAACAGUGAUGAAAUGUGUGAUGUGACAAUACAAAGUUUUCUAAGCCUCUACAUGAGAAGGCAUUGUAUGAAUGAAGUAUCUGAGUAGAAGUGUUGAGGUAGGCUGGCAAUGAGUAGGCUAAUUUAUCAAGUUCAAUAGUGGUAGAACAUGAGAUACUCUGGUUAAAUUGUGUCUGAAAGUCAGAUCAGGUGGAAGAACAGCUUAAUGCAUAGCACAUGAUAAAAAAUCUAAAUAACCACCUCACCUAUAGAGAGAAAAGACUUACACUGGGCUGCACUGAUUCUCACAUACCUAAAUCAAGAUUGCAUUCAAUAGAGUUUAAAUAAACUUUUCUUUAAAAUAUAAUAUAUAAUAAAAACAGUCCAUAAAAUAUAUUUUAGUUAGUUCAAGGGUUUUGUGCAGCUCUUCCUCCUUUUGCAUCCUUAUCAUUGCUAUAUGCACCAAGCAAAAAAAUAUAUCAUCAUCUAAUAUAAAGCACAACCAGAAUAAAACUUUGUAGUGUAGUAUUUAUUACGUUUGACCAUAAAACAAUGAACAGACAGACACCUGAAAGGUGGGUACUCACAAACAACGUGCCUCCACACCGGCACUAGUGGGAUAUCAUAUAAAUACAAGUUAAAUCCAAUUUUACCUCCAGCCCUCUGUACCAUCUUUCUUCCAAUAAAUGCAGCAGUAAACACCAGUAGUCUCAAUCACACAAUACACAGAAAGUACAGUAUGCUUUUUAAAUACAUUUUAAAAUUGGAUGCUGUUCUUUUAACCAAGAGAGUCUAGAGUAAUACAUUAUUUCCCACCCAUGUGUGGUGAUUGUAGAUAUAGUUAAAAAAAUUAGUCUUCCUCUGAUUUUCUUAUCUUGAGAGUGAUGAGAUAAGGUCUUUUAAUGAUGCAAUUGUAUCCAUCAUCAUUAACAUUUAUUUAGUGGGGGCAGGGGGGGGGGGACAAUAGGUCCCCCCUUAUUGUUAAUUUUAGGGCCCCCACCCACCGCUCAGGGGUGGGGGCCGGGGGGGACAAUAGGUCACCCCUUUAUUGUUAAUUUUAGGGCCCCCACCCACCGCUCAGGGGUGGGGGCCGGGGGGACAAUAGGUCCCCCCUUAUUGUUAAUUUUAGGGCCCCCACCCACCGCUCAGGGGUGGGAGCCGGGGGGGGGGACAAUAGGGCCCCCCUUAUUGUUAAUAUUAGGGCCCCCACCCACUGCUCAGGGGUGGGGGCCAGGGGGGACAAUAGGUCCCCCCUUAUUGUUAUUAGGGCCCCCACCCACCCCAUUGUUAUUUUUAGGGCCCCCACCCACCGCUCAGGGGUGGGGGCCGGGGGGGACAAUAGGUCCCCCUUAUUGUGAAGAACCCUUAGUUCACUGUUAUGGAGAGGCUUAAAUAUCCACCCACACAGCACUGAUGCAUACCUCUGUUGAAGUGACCCAUAGAGUCACGACACGCAUAAGGUUGCAUCUGUCUUUACAACUUUGAAACACACAUCGAACCACAGUGGAACACAAACACGGUGAAUAUUCCAACAGCCGAUAUACAUCUCGGACUCCCCAGCUGUCUCCAAAGCCGGCACAAAGGAGAAACCUCAAAGGAGCACCCAGGCUGUUAGGAGCUAGACUUUUUGAGUGUUCCCUUUUCUACUACACCUUUUAUAAGUGAAUUUUAUUACUGAUUUUAUGUGUUUUAUGAGACUAUAUACACUUAUAUUUUAUGUAUCACACUCUCACUGGGAUUUGAGUCUGAUACUAGAUAAUAAAGAUCAGCAGGCAGGUUCCCUGGUUGCCUCCAUAGCAGGGAUUUUUGCUUGACAUUUGUAUGAGUUUUACAUUUUGGACUAUUGGACUAUUUGCUACACUUUUGCUGCUAUUUGUAACUAUUCCUAUCUGGACAUUUAUGUACUGAAUACGGUAUAUUUCUACUAGCUGUUCAGUUAUAAUGUAAUAAUAAUCAUGAGGAUGUAUUUAUUUACUAUUUAUGCUAGUUUUUCACUUUUUUAUUUGCUAUGUAUAUAUCUGUUUUUUUUUUUUAAAUUAUGUAUUUUUAUUGUGCAGGUGUUUACAGAGCAUAUCAGUAACGCCACAACAGCGUAUGCGUUAAUCAUUACAGCAUUAACAGUGGCACGGAAAAUAGUGCACAUUUAUAUUUUAUAAUAAGACGAUUUUGAGCCAUUUAAACACAUCAUGCAUGUUGCAGAGUGAACUGGUCUAGAUACCAGUGGGUAAGUCAGGUAUGUUUAGCGACUUAAGUUUGAGCUCUAGGCUUGAUCGUAGUUUCUUAGCAUCUAGGUCGUGAUACUUUGAAGGGAUAGUGCCUAAGAGUAUGGUCAGCCCUUUUGCCAUUGGUAAACGGGGCUUCCGCCCAAUUAAGGACAGCGCAGGGUGCGCAGUAGGCAAUUUGAAAUGGUCUAUUGAUUUAGGGACAGGCAAACAUGUGAACAUAGAAACAUAAUCAUGUAUUUAACCAGGCUCCUUCGUGGGGUACCAGGGGAGCUACAGUAGGCAUUUACAUUGGGUAGAGUGAUAUGGCAAUACAGUGUAGUGACAAAACCUGUCUGUGUCCAUGUUGUAAACUCCAAGGAACAGCAAUGAGCGGGUGGUGCAGAUCCUCUAGUCCACAUGUGGUUUCAUGUUUGGCCCAUUGACAUUACUGUUUGGGUGGAUCUUCUUGGGACAAAUGUCUCGGAGGUGGCCGGGUUCUAUGCGUGGGUGUUAGUGGGUUUGUGGGGUUGCUGCAAGGCAUCUUGUGGGAGAUCCCAGGUCGCUAGGUGCAUUCUCGCCUCUUGUAGGUCAGCAAUUGAGUAAUUAGCGUCUCCAUGAAGCACCUGUAGUUUGUGGGGUGGGCGCCACUUGUAUUUGACGAUGUGUCCACGGAGUAAGGUGGUGAGUGGCCUGAGGGUUGCGCGCCAUGCCAUUGUUCCCCGUGACAGGUCCGUAUAGAACGUGAGGAACAUGUCCUCAAAGGCAUACGGUGUGUUUCCCCUGGUGGCGACCAGUAUUGCUACUUUAUCUUGACGUUUUUGAAGUUUGACUAUUAUAUCCCUGGGUGCCGCUAGUGGGGCUUUCGUGGGUUUGGGUAUUCGGAAUGUCCAGCUUUUUGGGGGUGGUAGUCGCUGUUUUUAUCCGUAAAAGUGCUUUUAUUUCUCUGAGCUUGCUGGAUUUGCGACCGGUCGGUUCGGCUGUUGGCUCCGCCCCCCGAUAUAUUUGUUUUUAUGCAAUAAAUUGUUUUGCACAAUAUUAGUUAGUUACUCUUGUUUCCUGCUUGCAAAGAAGGGUUGUGCCCCCAGAGCGUUAACACCUAGAGCCAGGUCCAAAAAGUUCUUAAUUUUAUAUAUAUUUGCCACUUUCAUGUGAAAAUACUACACCAGGUUUCUACUGGUUCUCUCCACAAAUUUUCUUCCCCACAUCUGUCACUUGAGUGGAUAAGAAGAGGGGAUUGUGUCACCAAGUACACUCCUGCCCGUAUGAUUUGAGCCGAUCUUGGGAGGCCCAUUUCCAUGAGAGUUGGACCAUUGUACAUUACUCACACAUCUAAGCAUCUUACAAUUUUACACUAUUAGCCUUUUCUCUUUUUCCCCAACAUAUUUUCCAGUCUCUGAUUUAUUACACCUCGCCCGCUCCACUAUUUUGGUUGGUGUUGGGGUGGAUUUGGGAGUUGUAGUUGCGUGUUGACCAACACUAUUUGAUUUAUUGUACCUAAGCGCCUUGAUAAACACACUGCGGGUUUAUUAAGUACCAUACAUGUGUAUGACUUUCUACCAAAAGAGGUUGUCUUAUCAAAUUCUCUAGAUAUUGAGAAAGCCUGAAUGAUUGAUUCUGGUAUUAGCUUCUCCUAUGAAGACAGCUUCUCCAUGAAAAAAAACAGAGGAUCCCCUUGAACUAUAUAUAAAUCAAAUAAGGUGACUAAUGGCAAAUGACUAUUCAAGAAUCCUCCUUAAGGGAAACCUAGAUCCAAAGAUAUAGAAUAUAAAAUAUAUAAGUAUAUAUAGUAUAAGUACUAUAUAUAUAUAUAUAUAUAUAUAUAUAUAUAUAGUUUCUAUAAUAAAAAAUAAAGCUACAGUUGCAUUUAAUAACAUUCUAAAAUAAAAUAGUUUAAAAACGGAAUUCAAUUUAUAUUUUUUAUCUUUUAAUAUGCACAGUGAAAUUUUUUAGAAGGCUGCAUUUUUCCAAACCAGUGAGAAGAAACAGCUAUAUACUAAUAUAAUGUAACCAUAAAUUGGCAUUACUGUAUUUUGCACACAUAUCCAAGAGCUAGCACAGUAAAAAUGCAAGUUCAGAAAUUUUGAACAAUUUGGAUAAACAAAUGAUGUAUAUUUUUCCACUGGGAUUCUUUUUUGGUCUUUUACUGAGAAUACUUGUCAUAAAAAUGUUGUAGGUUCAGAUUUAUGUGGCUUGGAAUCAAGGUUUUGUCAUCAUUUGGCACAUGUUCCAAACACUGAAAGUGAUAAAAAAUCCCGAGGCUUCCUCACUGUCAUCAUCAGAUUUAUGAAAGUGCUAGUAUCCGUAUAAACAUUAUGUUUUAUCUUAAUUCAAGUUGACCUCAAAGCACCGGAUGUGUCCCGUAUCCAAUGUUUCCAUGUCAACAUCCAGAGGGGAAACAUAACCCCUAGUGUCCUCACAGUUUUAGUUAUACUUUUGUAUUUCACACGGUGCUACAUUUCUAGAUUUUUUUAUAUUCUCCUGGUCGUUUUAUGGGAAACAGAAUGAUUUAAAAGUUUUAGUGCAGACAAACUACCACAGUUGAAUAAUGCAUUUUUCUUACAUUACUUGUGUUCAGUUCAAGAGAUUCAUGCAUCACACAGUAAUCUUAGAAGGAAUGUCUAAAACAUGCCUUUCUAUACAAGUUUUGAAGGAGCACUUAGAACAGUUUAUUAAGAAUUUUACAAUGGCCGUGUUGGCAUUUAAUUAAAGGUAACAAGGUCAAAUCUGCUCAUGUGUUCAUCUGCCCUUUUGAUUUAUUUAUUCUUGCUUCUUUCUUACAUUAUUCUUGCAUUCUUUAAAUAAAGCAACAUUUCAAGCCUAAAAAUAGUAGAGUUCUAUAGUUUAGUUUUUUUCCUUUUACUCUAAAACAUCAUUAUCGUGAACAUUUUAAAUCUUUUCAAAAUAAAUCAGAUUUCAGCAUGACUGACUAUUGACCAUAGACAGACAGCAAGAAUAAAAACUACACCCAUGGUAAAACAUCAAAAAUAGAAAUAGAGAUAUGAAGUAAGAACCCAACUAUAGAGAAUAGAGAAAGAUAGAUGUAACACAUCACAGUAUUUUAGACUCAAAAUGGAAUACCAGUCAAUGAAUUGAAAUAUUUUUUUCUUCAUUGCAAUCAAUUGAAUCAGUAGACUUGCAUGGUGGAAAAAUUUGCUUCAAGCACCGAGCAGGGUCCUCCAGAGUCGGCAAGAAGAUCAAAAGCGCUUUCCUGGAAGCUCUUUGAAAAUGCCUCAUUGUUUGGUCCUUAGUAUAAUUCUGGUCCCUAGCAGUUAGGGUGCUUGUACAUCCUCACUGAGUGCUGGACUGAAUCUACCAGACCCUCAGGGUAUGUAUUACUGCCCCAUUCCUGCGCAGGAUGUAAGAAGGAAAUGGGUCAAUGUAAUAAAAAAUCUAAGAUAUGUUGUGAGACUGUGUUUAAUACAGUCUUCCCACAUACUGUCACCCUCCCACACACACUCAUGCAGUCACCCUUGCCACACUCACCCCCCCAACAUUGUCACACUCACCCUAUCACAAUCACUCUCCUCACUGAACCCUGUAUCAUUACCCUGUAACAUGCGUAACCCUGUCACACUCACCACCCCCCUCUCUGCCAAACUCAUCCUGCACUCUGUCACACUAACCCCAUCAUCCUUUGUAAUACACAGUCACCUCCCAAAUACAAGCAACUACCUCAGAAACAUAUUCUCCCAGACACACACUCACACAAACGUAUGGAGGAACUAGGGAAAGAGACACAUGGAGGUGAUGGGUGGAGGAGGAGACACAUGGAGGGGCAGGUGGAGAGUGAGACACACAGAGGGGCUUGUAAAGGAAACAAGAGACACACAGGGGGCUGGGGAAGGGGAGAAUGAGACACACAUGGAGGUUGUGGGGAUAGAGACACACAGAGGUGCUGGGGUAGAAGAACGACACACAUAGCGACUGGGGAAGGGAAGAAAGAGACAAAGGGGCUGGGGCUAAGAUACACACAAAGGGAGCUUGGGGAAAAAGACACACAGAGGGGCUGGAGAAGCAUAAAAAGAGACACACAAAGGAGCUGUGAGGAAAUAAGAGAUACACAAAAGGGGGUUUAAGAGAAACAAGAGAGGUGUAAGAUAGAUUAAGCGAGUAAGGCAAUAAACAGAGGCAAAAAGAAACAGUUGAGAGAAAUACCUUUUAUUAAAUAUAUACAUUUUGCUAGCAAUCAUGCUAACACAAUACACAGGAGGAACUUGUAAUUGAUGUGAUUCUGAGAGUAAUAUGUAGCAAAGCUCUAGUCCUGACAAGGACUUUUUUCCGCUGGAUGCGUGGUAACUGGAACUCUGGAACAAGGCGCUGUAUUGUGAAUUUCCCUACCUAGUAACUGGACGAUACACAAUGAGUACAGCUCAAAGCUUUAAAGCAAAGAAUACCAAUAUGUCUCCAAUUCUAUGCUUUAAAGCUUUGCCUUAACCCCUCCCCCCCAUUCUAUUUCACUACAUUUCCCAUAUCACCUACUCUAUGUUUUAACUACUCCCCCUUUAUUCCCCAUGUCGGCUGCAGCUUCGUGCCUGCCGUCAAAUCUUAUGUUGUAUCACUCCCUCCUUAGUGUCAGCUGCAGCUCUGUGCAAGCAGACACACUUACUACAUUUCCAACAAUGCCCCUGGUAUGACGCUUACACACGUCUUCAUUGUGAGCUGUCGGCUUACAUUCUCGCCCACUUUACUACAAGCCCCAAUAGCCCUUGCGGCAUAUAUAUCACGGAAACCACGUGAUUAAACUUUACAGUGCAUAUCAGGCUCCCUAUCCCUCAUUUUUAAUAUCUAUUUGCAUGAAUAAGCUCAUACCCCAUUAGAUAUUCUAUAAAUACUAACUACAAUAUGUUUUAAAGUGGUAAAUACAGUUUUUUAUUUUCUGCUUUCUGAUUGGCUGACCAUUAUUUUGGCGCCAAUUUUAAUUAUCUGUACUCCUAUUUAAACCCAUAUUGCCAGCUAAUAUGUUCUAUUCCAUUUUUGAUAAAGCCCUGUGUGGCGAAACACAUUAAAUGUUUUUUAUUUGUGUAUUUUAACAAUAAAAGUUUUUUUGGUUACUUUUUAUUGUACCAAUUUACUUUUUAUUGUAUUUUAUAUGCACAUUUUAUUGCUGGCAUUUUUACUGAUCCUGGACUUAAAGAAAUCCUAGGUGGGGAUUAUUCCACCAACGCUACUAUAAUAGAGCAGUACAUUCUCCUCUUUACUUGUCAGUUUAUUUUAUAUAUUUUAUUUACUACACUCCUUUCAAAAUUGAGAACACUAUUGUUGUUUUUAUACACCCUGGAAGCCUGGAUACCUAAACCGGACAGACGGAAACACCUCUCCAUUGUAUCCCAUAGCGGGGUUGUACCGGUAGAUGCCAUCCAUCCCAGAGCUGGCUGAAGCUCUUUUAAAUGUGUGUCUACUAGCUUUAUUUUAUCCAUUUUACCUCUGGAACAUUAUCGGCUGUCUGUCGUAUCUCCCCUUGUCUCUCCACAUAUACAGAUAUUUUAUCAUCCGGACAGAUCAACUCCUGAGGAUUGCACCCCAUAUUUAUCCUGUUAUAUUAUUGAGACUUUUUAGAUGUAUUUUACCAUCCAGACAGAUCAACCCUUAAAGAUUGCACCACUAUUUUAGUGAGAUUUUAUUUCAUUUUUUACUUACAUAGCCUCUUUUUAUUAUUGUAUCAUUUAGACCAUUAGGUCAGUUUUCUAAUUGUAUAUUUACUGUUACUAGACUUUGGGCGCAACCCUCACCUUCUCUCUGUUUUUACAUCCUGUAUCUCAAAGAGUCUUAGAGGGACUCCCUUUUUGGGUUGCUGCCCCCAUCCUGUUACUUAGCGCUGACUCUCCCUCUUGUUGUACAUGUUAUUUCUGAACCGGACGAUGGCACAAAAGAGUCUUGGCACAAAAUUGCUGGCAGAUUGGGGCUUUCUGCAAUCAAUGUACACUUUGAACCAUUCCCACAUAUUCCCCACUAAGGUGUCAGGAGAGUGGCAGAUGGCUAGAUCUCCUACUAAGAAAAGGCCGUCCUCAACUAGCUAAAUGAAGACGACCAGUUAAUUAAAAACAUAAGACAAUAAACCAGUUCUGUGAGGAACAGAAAGGAAAAGGAUAUUAAACGUGGUGGUUUCUGUUCCUCACAGAACUGGUUUAUUGUCUUAUGUUUUUAAUUAACUGAUUCAAUGAUGAUAGAUGCUCAUUCUGCAUGUUACCAUGAGCAACUGCCCUGCGUGAAAGUCCUCAGGCUAAGUUUCUAGGUCCUAGCGAGGUUUACCUGCAUGUAGAUAAGGACCCUAUAUGCAAAUACAGGAGUCUAUAUCUGGUCAGAUCAAUAAUAUGGGUAUUUAAAUAGCCUCCAUCAAGGAUAUUCAAAUAGCCCCCAUCAGUGUACACCCACUGAGUGGACGCGCAAUUACUUGGUCAAUACCCACAUCUGAGUUAAGCCAGGCAGUUAAUAUCGCAUAGCUGUGCUAACAUUUGCUACUGCAUUUAGUAGGUCCAGGUCACCUACUAAACUAGGGGAAGUGGACCAAAAUACAGUUGCUAAAGUCUAGACGCUAACAGUUGGUAACAAAUCGGACAAAUGAAAAUUGAUUUAAAAAAAACAAAAAAACAAACAAACUAAACAAUAGAAUCCCUCCCCCCCACAAAAUAAAUAAACAAAUAAAUACAUAAUAGGACUGAUCACAUUAUUUCUUUUGUUGGAUUAUUUUACAUAUUGAUAUACAUGUUAAUGGCUCUAUCAGUCUCGAGUUUCUAGCAUAACGCAUAGAAGUGAUUGGAUUGUGGUGACACCUACCCUGUUAGAAUUACGUAAGGCUAACAUACUUUACAAUCCCAGUAUUGUAUGAGUCAGUCAGACCCUCCUCCUCUCAUGCACCUCAGCCAGAUGGGUGAAUGCGGGUAUUGGCAACGCCGGUCCUCCCACUGGCCCAAAGUUGUUCCCUUGCUCGUAAGGGUGCUAUGUAUAUACUUUGUGUGGUUAAUGUUAUUCAUAUUUGGCUGAUAAGGCAACAAUACUCAAUGUACUCAGUGCAUCGGUGGGGACAAUGGCCCCAUCCCCCCCUCUCUGCAUACAAUGGUUAGCACACAAAGCAACACUACGGGGUCAUCUAAAUAGGAUCCCUUAUUAAACGCAAGUGUGUUGAAAACAAAUCAAACCUGCUUGCAGAAAUUGAGGUCCUAGAAACUCAAAAUAAACAGAACCAUCUAAAUGCCUCUCUAACAAAAUCAAACAAACACAACAAAAACUCCACACACUUGAGCUACAUGUCACAGAAAGACAUAUGAGAUCCCUGAAACAAACUUAUUACCACCUCGGGAACAAGGCAGGCAAGCUUCUAGCACGUAAGCUAAAGCAUAAAAACAAUAAGACUAAAAUCCCUUACUUGACUGGUCAGAAUAGAGACAGAAUAUAGAACCAUCAAGACAUUGUUGAGGAAUUGAGCAAAUAUUACACCCCACUUUACAAUUUGAGCCUAGACACGACAUUAUGCCAGCCCUCCCAAAGUGAUAUAGACUCCUUCCUUGACCAAACCCCACUGCUGCAACUGACUGAUGACCAGAGAAAUAUACUGUGCAGCCCCUUCACAGAUAUACUGGGCAGCCCCUUCACAGAAGAUGAAGUUUGUGAGGUUAUCAGAUCCCUUCCUUAGCACAAGCCACCUGGUCCUGAUGGGCUUACAAAUUAGUACUACAUUAAACUACAAAAUGUUUUACUACCAUACCUUACAACACUAUUUGACCACAUUAAAUCCUCAGGAACGUUCCCGCAGGAAAUGUUAGAGGCUAACAUAGUCACCCUCUCCAAACCGAACAAACACCCACAUCUCUGCUCAAACCGGAGACCAAUAUCACUAUUAAAUGCGGACAUCAAGAUGUAUGCAAAACUGUUGGCCACUUAUAUCAAACUGAUGCUACUUCACCCUGGAACAGGCUGGCCUUGUGCCGGGUAAGCAGGUGGGCGACAAUACAUGCUACUUCAUUGACCUCAUAGAAUGGGCAAAACAUAGUGAUCAAAAGGGGAUAGUACUUGCGCUUGACGCUGAAAAAGCAUUUGAUCGCCUAAAUUGGUCCUACAUAGCUUCGACUUUAUCCAGACUGGGCUUCUCUUCAGCUUUGGUUGUAGCAUCCAAGCCCUGUACAUCUCCCCAACAGCACACAUCUUUAAUUAUGGAUUUACUUCCUCAGCAUUUCCUAUCAAGAAUGGCACUGGCCAAGACUGCCCACUUUCCCCUAUAAUCUUUAUACUAUGUCUAGAACCAUUAGUGAGGCAAAUUUAAAAUUCCCCAAACAUUAGAGGAUUAUCUACCCCAGCAGCAGAACAGAAACUGUCUCUCUUCGCUGAUGAUGUUUUACUCUUUCUUACACAACCAAUUACCUCAGUACCUCAUGAUCUUUUGGUGAGAUACGGAGAAGUCUCUUUUUAUAAAAAUAAUGUGUCUAAAACUCAGGCAUUACCUAUAGGAAUCUCCCGUGAGAACAAGUUGACUUUGGAGCUCUCUUACUGAUAGGAUUGGCGCAAAACAAUCUCUCUCUUAUUCAGGUAUUAAAUUUACAAAAGUUACUAAUCUUCUUACACAAGAAAACUAUUACCCACUAAUACAUAAACUACAGUUACAAAUGGGAAGAGUUAGAGGUGUCAUGGCUGGGAUGGGUGAACUCGAUUAAGAUGAUGGUGCUUUCACACAUAUUAUAUCUAUUUCAAACACUGCCCAUAGCUCUACCAAACUCUUUAGUAAAAAAAUUUAAAUCUAUAGUGAAUGCACAUAUCUGGAGGAAAAAAAAAAACGCCAUGGGUUCGAUACCGCCUUAUGUGGUUAUCGCAUAUAAAAGGAGGACUGAGCAUCCCCCAUAUUCACACAUACUACAGGGGAUCAGUAUUAUCACUGGGCAUGCACAUUAUGUCAAAGAAUACACAACCUAUAUAGCUUACAUUUGAAAAUGCAUAUCUCCAAUAGCAAAGGUUAGAACACUUGCUGUGGGCAUCGAUACUGCCCUCCUCUAUCCCAAGCGGCUACUAUCCACUUCCAAGUCUAGCAUUGCAUCACAUUGGAAGAGUACAACCUUGCCAUCCUUACAAGAUAUUUUACACAAAGUAGAGAACUAAUGGCGCACAAAGUACUAGGCACACUAAGCAAAGAUACACAAAUGUGGACCAGUUGGACAGAUGCUAGAAUCGCCACAUAAUGACAGGUAAUAGGAUAACACUUUCUGCCUUAGUAGAUGAUUGGAGUCCCCCACUGACAGCUAGAUCUACAAUGUGUCUGACGCUAAUGCGAGGAUCACGAACCAUGCAGAGCAUUUAGUUUAUUGGAUUUGUUGAGAAUCCAAGUUUAUUUCCUAUAUACUAUUUCUUUCUUUAUUAGUUAAAUAUGGUUUUAAAAAAAUGGCUUCUCUAUAUCCUGGGAUGGGGCACAUGCAUACGCUGGCCGACGAUGCGUCCAAGAAGUGAGACGGUCAAUGCAACCUAAGCGGUGUAUCAUCCCUUACACUACUAACAUAAGUACCUGAAGUGAAGGAAUGCAACAACUCAUUGUGCUCCAUACUCAUAGCAUAUGACUACAGCAUCCUCAUUUUAUAUUUUACUGUAAGAACAAUGUACUCGAAGCCUUUAUGCUCACUUGACGCAAUGUAUUGUUUCUUAAUAUGUAUGAAAAUCUCAAUAAAAACAAUAUAAAAAAAAUAUACAUUAACCUCCUUUCUUCCAGGUGCAAUCUUUUAUAACAAUACCAAUGUUCUUAUCUCCUAUGAGUGUAUUUAGGCGAGUAUUAAUUACCAUUUGUCCAAAGACUGGAAUCCAGUACAAUACGAUAAUAAAUUGUAAUAGUAAUCAAAUAUUUAUUUGAAAUUAGCAACAAUGACAACUUCAGGUUGUUCUAACAGUAUAUGUAUGAUAAAAAAAUCAUUCUGGUUUCUGUGAUAGUAAUCGGGGAAAAAAAUUAAUCCAUACGGUCUUAGAACAAAAGCAAGAGCAUAAAACAAUACAUUCAUAGAAUUGAAAGGAGAUAUAAUAUAAUUUAUAAUAAGUUAAUAUGAAGUAAAUAUAUUAAGUACAUAUAGUAAAGUAGUUCACAUGUUUUUAAUAAUGCAGAUGCAGUGCUUCUAAGAUGGAAUGUUAUCCACAUAUUUAGUCCUUUCUGUCAAGUAGUUUAUCAAAGAUGUAACUGGAACAUUUAUGUAAUUAGAUCAUAAAAUGAAAUAUGGUGUAAAGGUAUAAUAGUAGUUUAAUGGCAGUGAUCCUUUAAAUUGUUUCUUUGGAAUUUUAAUCCCUUUUGUUUGUAUGGAUAGAAUGGCGGAGUUCUUCAUCUUCCUUGGAAUUGGUCUGUACAUAAAUACAGUUAGAUAUCUGUCCUUUGCUCAGGACCUAUCUCUGCAGUUGUUCUUUGUCAUCAGUGGAUGGAGAACCCACCUGUGGUGACAGGAUGAGAGUUUUUAGAAUUGUAUUUGAUUAUUUUUGCACGAGUGAUCAGCAUCCAAACUGUUUUCGCAUUUUCUUUGCCUUUUCUGCCACUGUUGCCAAUGUCCAAGUUUGGACAAAUUUACAUUUAAUUUUUUUUUCUUCAGAUUAAAGUGAAUCUCAUCAGGAUACAGAUACUCACCAGCAAAAUACAACAUGACCAAAGGCACAGACCUUGGAAUCUCU